UACGUAGGGUCCGAGCGUUGUCCGGAAUUACUGGGCGUAAAGAGCUCGUAGGUGGUUUGUCGCGUUGUUCGUGAAAACUCACAGCUCAACUGUGGGCGUGCGGGCGAUACGGGCAGACUAGAGUACUGCAGGGGAGACUGGAAUUCCUGGUGUAGCGGUGGAAUGUGCAGAUAUCAGGAGGAACACCGGUGGCGAAGGCGGUUCUCUGGGCAUUACCUGACGCUGAGGAGCGAAAGCGUGGGGAGCGAACAGG
rnacentral:rRNA from 1 species